rnacentral:rRNA from 1 species
GACGAACGCUGGCGGCGUGCCUAAUACAUGCAAGUCGAACGCAGUGGGGACGGGUGAGUAACACGUGGGUAACCUCCCAUCAGAGGGGAUAACACUUGGAAACAGGUGCUAAACCGAUACUGAUGGAUGGACCCGCGGUGCAUUAGCUAGUUGGUGAGGUAACGGCUCACCAAGGCCACGAUGCAUAGCCGGCAUGAGAGGGUGACGAGCCACACUGGAACUGAGACACGGACCAGACGCCGACGGGAGGAAGCAGUAGGGAAUCUGGGGAAAGGGACGAAAGUCUGACCGAGCAACGCCCGGUGAGGGAAGAAGGUUUUCGGAUGGUAAAGUUCUUUUGUUAGAAAAGGGUUACCAAACCAGAAAGCAACGGCUAACUACGUGCCAGCAGCCGCGGUAAUAC